UUAGUGGCAGACGGGUGAGUAAUGCAUAGGAAUCUACCUAGUAGUAUAGGAUAGCCACUAGAAAUGGUGGGUAAUACUGUAUAAUCCCUGCGGGGGAAAGAUUUAUCGCUACAUGAUGAGCCCAUGUUAGAUUAGCUAGUUGGUAGGGUAAAGGCCUACCAAGGCGAUGAUCUAUAGCUGGUCUGAGAGGAUGAUCAGCCACACUGGAACUGAGACACGGUCCAGACUCCUACGGGAGGCAGCAGUGGGGAAUAUUGGACAAUGGGCGCAAGCCUGAUCCAGCUAUGCCGCGUGAGUGAGGAAGGCCUUAGGGUUG
rnacentral:rRNA from 1 species